AGUGACCGAUAGCGCAUAGUACUGUGAAGGAACGGUGAAAAGAACCCCGGGAGGGGAGUGAAAGAGAACCUGAAACCCUGUGUUUACAAGCUGUGGAAGAGCUUUACAUGCUCAACCGCGUACUUUUUGUAGAACGGUCCGGCGAGUUACUCUUACUGGCAAGGUUAAGCACCAAAGGUGUGGAGCCGAAGGGAAACCAAGUCUUAACAGGGCGAGUUAGUCAGUGUGAGUAGACCCGAAACCGGGUGACCUACCCAUGUCCAGGAUGAAGUUGCCGUAAAAGGCAAUGGAGGUCCGAACACACAUCCGUUGAAAAGGGUGGUGAUGAGGUGUGGGUAGCGGAGAAAUUCCAAUCGAACCCGGAGAUAGCUGGUUCUCCUCGAAAUAGCUUUAGGGCUAGCCUCAAUUUAGUCUUGCGGAGGUAGAGCACUGAAUAUCCUAGGGGGCGUCAAAGCUUACCGAAGAUUAUCAAACUCCGAAUGCCGUAAAGAUGAUGAUUGGGAGUCAGACUGCACGAGAUAAGUUGGGUAGUCAAAAGGGAAACAGCCCAGACCUCCAGCUAAGGUCCCAAAGUGAGUGUUAAGUGGAAAAGGAUGUGGGAUUUCGAAGACAACUAGGAUGUUGGCUCAGAAGCAGCCAUUCAUUCAAAGAGUGCGUAAUAGCUCACUAGUCGAGAGGUCCUGCGCCGAAAAUGUCCGGGGCUAAACACUACACCGAAGCUGAGGAAUGACAAUGUCAUUGGUAGAGGAGCAUUCUUAACUGCGACGAAGCUGUACCGAAAGGAGCAGUGGAGUGUUAAGAAGAGAGAAUGCCGGAAUGAGUAGCGAGAGUGAGGUGAGAAUCCUCACGGCCGAAUAUCUAAGGUUUCCAGGGUAAAGCUGAUCUGCCCUGGGUAAGUCGGGACCUAAGGCGAGGUCGAAAGACGUAGUCGAUGGACAACAGGUUGAAAUUCCUGUACUGCAAUGUAUCAGAAAUGUGGGGACACAGACAGAGAGCCGGAGCCGGGAAUGGAGAAACCGGUGCAAGCGGGGUAGGAGAACAGCAGGCAAAUCCGCUGUUCAAUCCAAAGACGUGACGCGGAGCGAAAUUAAAGUAGCGAAGCCGGUGAGCUGGCUGUCAGGAAAAGCCGCUAUUGUGUACAUUGUACCCGUACCGUAAACCGACACAGGUGGAUGAGGAGAGAAUCCUAAGGCCGACGGAAGAAGCAUUGUUAAGGAACUCGGCAAAAUGGCCCCGUAACUUCGGGAUAAGGGGUGCCUACGAAGGUAGGCCGCAGAGAAUUGGCCCAAGCAACUGUUUAGCAAAAACACAGGUCUAUGCGAAACCGUAAGGUGAUGUAUAUGGGCUGACGCCUGCCCGGUGCUGGAAGGUUAAGGGGAGAGGUUAGACAUGAGUCGAAGCCUUGAACUUAAGCCCCAGUAAACGGCGGCCGUAACUAUAACGGUCCUAAGGUAGCGAAAUUCCUUGUCGGGUAAGUUCCGACCCGCACGAAA
rnacentral:rRNA from 1 species